AUAAAAGUUGCGCUGCAGCUCGUGUGUCGGUUGAAGGCGGGUUGAGGGAAGAUUGAGGUGUUUGUGUGAGGUCUGUUGUAAUGAUGGAGUGUGUUAAAGAUGAGACUGAUCCUGAAUCAUUCACAAUAACACCCCAACAUACUCAACAACAAAGAGGCCUAAUGGGAGUGAAAGAGGAAGUUGAAAGACAAAAUGAAAUGGAAGAUAAACUUCAGCACCACAAUUUCAUAAGUGAAGAAAAUUCUUUCAUUUGCUCACAAACUGAUGAGGACUCACCUGAAGAAAGAGCAGAAGACAAAAUCUCUUUUGCAUGCCAUCUUAAUGGUGAGACUUUUUCACAAAAAGGACAUUCAAAUGUUCACAUAAAGACUCACACAGAUGAAAUGCCUCAGUGUGAAAAGACUUGCACAAGUAAAAGCCACCUUGAGGAUCAUUUGGUAAUUCAUGGUGGUGUGUGGCCCUUCACCUGCCCUCAGUGUGAUAAGUGUUUUAAACAUCGAAGAAGUCUUAAUAUUCACUUAAAGACUCACACUGGAGAAAGCCCCUACAGCUGCCCUCAAUGUGAAAAGACCUACAGAGAAAAAAGACGCCUUAAGAAU